rnacentral:rRNA from 1 species
CCUACGGGUGGCCGCAGUGAGGAAUAUUUGUCAAUGGGCGGGAGCCUGCACCAGCCAAGCCGCGUGCAGGAAGCAGGCGCCAGGCGUCGUACACUUCUUUUGUCGGGGAACAACGGGCGCCACGCGUGGCGUUGUGAGUGUACCCGACGAAAAAGCAUCGGCUAACUCCGUGCCAGCAGCCGCGGUAAUAGGGAGGAUGCGAGCGUGAUCCGGAUUUAUUGGGUUUAAAGGGUGCGUAGGCGGAGCGUUAAGUCAGUGGUCAAAUUGAGGGGCUCAACCCCUUCCCACCAUUGAAACUGGCGCUCUUUAGUGUAAGAGAAGUAUGCGGAAUGCGUGGGGUAGCGGUGAAAUGCAUAGAUAUCACGCAGAACCCCGAUUGCGAAGGCAGCAUGCCGGCUUCCGACUGACGCUGAAGCACGAAAGCGUGGGGAUCGAACAGGAUUAGAUACCCCAGUAGUC